UCCCGGCUAGCUCUGUUGGUAGAGCACGAGACUCAUAAUCUCGGGGUAGUGGGUUCAUGUCCCACGGCGGGUG
rfam:Lepisosteus oculatus linkage group LG4, whole genome shotgun sequence.